CCUCCUUAAAAAAUAAUCGCUUAGGAUAGGCGUUCACACGAAUAACUUGCUUUUACCUAAAUCAUUUCUUUACAGAUUUGAGAUUAAGGAGCGUUCUUUAACAUUUUUAUAAGUUCAAUCAAGUCACAUCAUAGUGUCUUAGUUUUUUAAUUUAGAUAUGAAUGAUGUGCAAAUGUCACCAAACCCGUCAUGUUUUAGAACAUAAGUUUGGUGUACAUACUGCAAAGUAAUUUUGGCGAAUGACAAUAGAUACUUGAAGAACAUUAAUCAUUAAGUUGUUUGAUGUAAUAUGGUCAAGUAAUUAAGCGCAUACGGUGGAUGCCUUGGCAGCUAGAGGCGAUGAAGGACGUAGUAACUUGCGAUAAGCUUCGGGGAGCCGGUAAACAGGCUUUGAUCCGAAGAUUUCCGAAUGA
rnacentral:misc_RNA from 1 species